rnacentral:lncRNA from 1 species
UCCAACUUGAAAUCACAUGAAAGCCAGGGAGGGGGAAAUCAGACAAGUUUGGAGCAGACAUCUAUUUUUCUUGCUCAAGAUGGUGAGUUUGUGUGUAUCAUCGCACAAAUUGGCCCAGUUUUGUACAGCAUGCUCACCAAAAGGAAAACCUUCGAUGCAGGUAUAUUCUGCUCAUCUUAUCAGGGCCUUUCAUGAUGAAAGUGGUCUUUAAUCUCUCUUUUGAGUGGAGCGAUUUUAGCCGAAUUAUCAAAAUGGGAUCUUAUGGUUGUGCACAGAGACAGUGCCAACACUCAGCUGCACAAGGUGGAGAAGAAGAAAGCCAAACCGCUUCCAAGCAUCACAGCGUUUUCUCCUAAAACCCAUAAAGUGUAAAGCAAACGACCAUUUUUUUAUUAUAGUUGCAUAGAAGAUUUAGCUCACAUUUACCUCACAUCAAGAUAAAAAACUUUGGAAUUUUAACUGUAAAAUACACACACACGUGUACUAAAAGUUAGCGGAGACAUUUGAGCUGUUUCACUGUUCGCUCAGUUAGAGCUGGGGAGAGGAGGAGGGUGUCACUUCCUUCAGUUCAUAGCACUCUGAGAACAACUCAUGCGAUAGGGCUAUUAUCUGUAAUGAGUUAAAGUGACUGCUGGUAUUCAAAUGAUCACGUUGGUUGCUAAACUUACAAAUGUAAAUGUCUGAAAGUAGAUCUGUUAGAAUGUUUGAUCUUUCGGCUCUAAUUGCAUUUCAAACUGGAGAGGGAAAAUGUCAAAACCUUCCUCAUACUUCACAGUUGCAUAAUGUUUUUCAUGUGCACAAUUAGUCCUGGGUUCUAUUUUAGGGCUUGACAUCAUACUGUAUAUGCGGGUGGAGUGAUGAUGGGGUUACCAGUCAGUCUUUCAAUGGCUGGCUGGCGUAGGCCUGAGUGCUCAUCCCUGCUAAGACACACCACUGGGGAGAGAGAGAGAGAGGAAACCACAUGGUGAAGAGAGUGAUGAGCUGCCAGCUGAUCUGGUGGGAUUGAGAAGCACCAUGCAGUACAUAUGGAAGGGAGUGGAACAGGCCUGGGAUGGGGUGGAUCCAUGUCUGUCCUUAGGUCAGCUGGCCUAAUAGAUGAUAGAUGGUAAAAGCUGAUGACAUUCACUGGUCUGACUGACACCAUUAAUGCAGACCAGAGGCAGUGGGGUUCAAUAAGUGGGGGGAGUGUCUAUCCAUCUCUCAUCUCUUCAUGUCUCUCACUUUCCCUCUGUCCAUCUCUCCCUUUCUUUCACUUUCUCCUUCUCUCCAUCCAAUACUCUUGGUUCAUGUCAGCAGAGUGUCAUAACCAGACUGAAUUAGAGGUUUACUGUUUGUGCUCAUCCUAAUAUGGAGUUUCUCUCUGUCUCUUUGUGCCCUCGACCCCCAACAUGCCUACAAAUGACUGUCUGAGUGCUGUGCUCACGCACUGAGCCAGGCCUCAUCUGUCACCCUAGGGGCUCUGAGGGGCUCUCGGGACUGUGGGGCUUUGUCAGAAUUGAAUGAUUUAAUUUACCAUUUUUUCUUUGACAUACAUUUCUUUACCAUGAGCAGAUUCAAACAUAACACUGUUUGAGUGUAGUUCAUAGGACAUACAGGCUACACGAAUGCUGAUUUAUGGUGUAAAUACUUGAAUGAUUUAAUUCAUAGCAUUGGAGUUUCAGUGCAGUGUCACCUAUAUUUCAGUUGUUCCAGCACCUUUGUAUUUUGUGCUGUAAUAUUCUGUUUGAAUUAUCUUUGGCAACAGGGGUAAUAUCUUGUCAAUAAUUCCUCACAGAAAAAACACAACUCUGUCCAGAAAAGUCUCUCUCUAAUCAUUGUGGUUAUUGAUUUUGCCUUGUGCCAUUCCAGAGGAGCGCCAACAGAUAGUGAAGCAGAGACAGAGUAGCCAGCACUGCUGCUCAGGUAAAAAAAACUGCAAUCCAGCCAAUAUCCCAGGGUUCACCAAAGGACACAAUCAAAUGCCAUUGUCUCCUCGGUUUUCACAGCGAUAUUGUGCUCCUCUCCUGACAAUCCCCUUCCAAUAUGUUUCACUACAAAAUGGGGCACUGCCAAAGGUUCCAAUAUUGUAAUGCUUCUGCAGGGUUCUUUUUGUAUUUCAUACUCAGGGAGGUGUAGAGAAGUUCCAUCAGGGUUCAGAAUGGUCCUGUUGUGCUGUUAGAAUUUUACCCUUACAUCCUGGGUGAUUACUGUCUCUGACGAUGAGAGGACAAAUGUAUCUUUCUUUCUACCUGCAGGGCUGAAAUACCCUGUAGUUUAAAAGGCUAGUUCACACUAUUUUAUGGUAGACUGUCACCCAGCUAUUGUAUGCUAUGGGACAUUUCUGCAAGAGUGAUGCACUCUCUUUUCAUGUUGAUCGACCUAUCAGUCAUAGUAAUGCAUAAGCCGUCUGAGUUUGUGUACACUGUGGCGCUGUGUGUUAUAUGAUAAAUGAAUGUAAAGAUGCAAGACUAAACUCACACACACACACACACACACACACACACACACACACACACACACACACACACACACACACACACACACACACACACACACACACACACACACACACACACACACACAGACACAGACACACACACACACAGUGCAGUCUGUUUGAAUGUGCCUACACCACAAAGACAAGCUCUAUUAUAAUAGCUGUGCUAUUGAUUGUGCAUAACUCACUUUGUCUGAUUAUGAUUACAAUUGAAUGUUGACUUUCCCCAUGCAAUGAAUUCAUUGUAAUAAUGCCAGUCUUGUUGGCUUGUAUGAUCUAUGAUUCAUCAAUACUAUUGAUUCUCCCAAAGUUCAUCCAUCCAUAAGUGACUGGCAUAUCAAUGUUUUACAUAAAAAGAUUGAGUAGAGGCAAUCUGCAUGUCAGCAAAAUGUCUCUUCAAUUGAGCCUGGCCAAUGUUAUUGUCCCUUAAGGAAGUUGUGACUGUUUUGUAAACAGGACAGGGACACACGGCAGCAGUCACAUGGGACAUGGUUAACAUUACGAAGGACAAGCGCAUUGACAGAAAAUUGCUCUAAUGCUAGAAGUGCCACUCUGUUUCCAAUCCAAUGUACACGUGAUGUGAUGUGAUGCAUUGUCGUGCACAGCAGGUAACAGUGUGCUCUGCACGGCAAUACUUGUUCUAGUCUAUUCUCCCGAAGAACAGCUUACGAACAUAAAGUAAUGACAGGAGAAAAUGUGUUUGAUGGUUUCUGAACAAUAGAGGGUAUACAAUAAUAACAUUCCACACCAGCACUUCAGCACUGCUAGGGCUAAUUGGAGAGGCAUGAGAAUCUGUGAAUAAAAAGUCACAAUGUUCCGUCUGAUUUGGUGUGUGCGUGCGCUUGCAUCGGUGUGGGUGUGUAUCUGGACAUUGGGUGGUGGAUAGUGCUGUUGUGACAGUGGGCUGCCCUCAGAGGUCUGUGGAUAUCCAGUGUAAAUCCAGCCCAGGGGAGCUGUGAAAAAGCUAAUAAUACGUUAUUGCAGUAGAGGUCCUUCCUGUCGCCUCUCCAUCACCACACCAGUGCCACCCUACACAUGGACCACAGCGGGAUAAUGGCCAAUAAUGUGGAGCAGCAGAGAGUGAGAAGUCCAAUCACACUGGCCACUGAGUGGUGUGAGAGGGCCGGGGUCGAGAGAGAGAGAGAGAGAGGGCUGAGGUAAAGAGAGGACAGGGGUAGAGAGAGGACUAGGGUGGAGAGAGAGGGCUGAGGUAGAGAGAGAGAGGGCUGAGGUAGAGAGAGAGAGGGCUGGGGUAGAGAGAGAGAGGGCAGGGGUAGAGAGAGAUAGAGGGCUGGGGUAGAGAGAGAUAGAGGGCUGGGGUAGAGAGAGAGAGGGCUGGGGUAGAGAGAGGACCGGGGUAGAGAGAGAGAGGGCUGGGGUAGAGAGAGAAAGAGGGCUGAGGUAGAGAGAGGACCGGGGUAGAGAGAGGACUGGGGUAGAGAGAGAGAGGGCUGGGGUAGAAAGAGAUAGAGGGCUGGGGUAGAGAGAGAGAGGACUGGGGUAGAGAGAAGACUGGGGUAUGGAGAGAGAGAGAGCUGGGGUAGAGAGAGAGAGAGAGAGAGAGAGAGAGAGAGAGAGAGAGGGCUGGGGCAGAGAGAGGGAGGGCUGGGGUAGAGAGAGGGAGGGCUGGGGUAGAGAGGAAGAGAGAGAGAGAGAGAGAGAGAGAGAGAGAGAGGCAGAGAGAGGGGCAGAGAGAGGGAUGGCUGGGGUAGAGAGAGAAAGAGGGCUGAGGUAGAGAGAGGACCGGGGUAGAGAGAGGACUGGGGUAGAGAGAGAGAGAGAGAGAGAGAGAGAGAGAGAGAGAGAGAGGACUGAAGUAGAGAGAGAGGGGGCUGGGGUAUAAAGAGAGGGCUGGGGUAGAGAGAGAAGGAUGGGGUAUGAAGAGAGGGCUGGGGUAGAGGGAGAGAUAGGGAAUAGAGAGAGAGAGGGGGGAAUCAAAUCAAAUCAAAUGUAUUUAUAUAGCCCUUCUUAGAUCAGCUGAUAUCUCAAAGUGCUGUACAGAAACCCAGCCUAAAACCCCAAACAGCAAGCAAUGCAGGUGUAGAAGCACGGUGGCUAGGAAAAACUCCCUAGAAAGGCCAAAACCUAGGAAGAAACCUAGAGAGGAACCAGGCUUUGAAGGGUGGCCAGUCCUCUUCCGGCUGUGCCGGUGGAGAUUAUAACAGAACAUGGCCAAGAUGUUCAAAUGUUCAUAAAUGACCAGCAUGGUCAAAUAAUAAUAAUCGCAGUAGUUGUCGAGGGUGCAACAGGUCAGCACCUCAGGAGUAAAUGUCAGUUGGCUUUUCAUAGCCGAUCAUUGAGAGUAUCUCUACCACUCCUGCUGUCUCUAGAGAGUUGAAAACAGCAGGUCUGGGACAGGGAGCACAGGGUUCCAUAGCCGCAGGCAGAACAGUUGAAACUGGAGCAGCAGCAUGGCCAGGUGGACUGGGGACAGCAAGGAGUCAUCAUGCCAGGUAGUCCUGAGGCAUGGUCCUAGGGCUCAGGUCCUCUGAGAGAGAGAAAGAAAGAGAGAAAGUGAGAAUUAGAGAGAGCAUACUUAAAUUCACACAGGACACCGGAUAAGACAGGAGAAAUACUCCAGAUAUAACAGACUGACCCUAGCCCCCGACACAUAAACUACUGCAGCAUAAAUACUGGAGGCUGAGACAGGAGGGGUCAGGAGACACUGUGGUUCCAUCCGAUGAUACCCACGGACAGGGCCAAACAGGCAGAAUAUAACCCCACCCACUUUGCCAAAGCACAGCCCUCACACCACUAGAGGGAUAUCCUCAACCACCAACUUACCAUCCUGAGACAAGUCUGAGUAUAGCCCACAAAGAUCUCUGCCAUGGCACAACCCAAGGGGGGGGUGCCAACCCAGACAGGAAGACCACGUCAGUGACUCAACCCACUCAAGUGACGCACCCCUCCUAGGGACAGCAUGGAAGAGCACCAGUAAGCCAGUUACUCAGCCCCUGUAAUAGGGUUAGAGGCAGAGAAUCCCAGUGGAGAGAGGGGAACCGGCCAGGCAGAGACAGCAAGGGAGGUUCGUUGCUCCAGUGCCUUUCCAUUCAUCUUCACACUCCUGGGCCAGACUACACUCAAUCAUAGGACCGAUUGAAGAGAUGAUUCUUCAGUAAAGACUUAAAGGUUGAGACCGAGUCUGCGUUCCUCACAUGGGUAGGCAGACCAUUCCAUAAAAAUGGAGCUCUAUAGGAGAAAGCCCUGCCUCCAGCUGUUUGCUUAGAAAUUCUAGGGACAAUUAGGAGGCCUGCGUCUUGUGACCGUAGCGUACGUGUAGGUAUGUAUGGCAGGACCAAAUCGGAAAGAUAGGUAAGAGCAGGCCCAUGUAAUGCUUUGUAGGUUAGCAGUAAAAUCUUGAAAUCAGCCCUUGCCUUAACAGGAAGCCAGUGUAGGGAGGCUACCACUGGAGUAAUAUGAUCAAAUUUUUGGGUUCUAGUCAGGAUUGUAGCAGCCGUAUUUAGCACUAACUGAAGUUUGUUUAGUGCUUUAUCCGGGUAGCCGAAAAGUAGAGCAUUGCAGUAGUCUAACCUAGAAGUAACAAAAGCAUGGAUACAUUUGUCUGCAUCAUUUUUGGACAGAACAUUUCUGAUUUUUGCAAUGUUACGUAGAUGGAAAAAAGCUGUCCUUGAAACAGUCUUGAUAUGUUCGUCAAAAGAGAGAUCAGGGUCUAGAGUAACGCCGAGGUCCUUCACAGUUUUAUUUGAGACGACUGUACAACCAUCAAGAUUAAUUGUCAGAUUCAACAGAAGAUCUCUUUGUUUCUUGGGACCUAGAACAACAUCUCUGUUUUGUCCGAGUUUAAAAGUAGUUUGCAGUCAUCCACUUCCUUGUCUGAAACACAGGCUUCCAGCGAGGGCAAUUUUGGGGCUUCACCAUGUUUCACUGAAAUGUACAGCUGUGUGUCAUCCGCAUAGCAGUGAAAGCUAGCAUUAUGUUUUCGAAUGACAUCCCCAAGAGGUAAAAUAUAUAGUGAAAACAAUAGUGGUCCUAAAACAGAACCUUGAGGAACACCAAAAUUUACAGUUGAUUUGUCAGAGGACCAACCAUCCACAGAGACAAACUGAUGUCUUACAAUUACAGUACUAGUUUGACUUUUCAGCCAUUUAAAAAAAGAGGGUGAGGGGAAGGGGACUUAGUCCAGAGAGCCAGGCCAGAACUUGUCCGUGUAGACCAAUUUGGGUUUCCAAUCUCUCCAAAAGAAUGUGGUGAUCGAUGGUAUCAAAAGCAGCACUAAGGUCUAAGAGCACGAGGACAGAUGCAGAGCCUCGGUCUGACGCCAUUAAAAGGUAAUUUACCACCUUCACAAGUGUAGUCUCAGUGAUAUGAUGGGGUCUAAAACCAGACUGAAGCAUUUCGUAUACAUUGUUUGUCUUCAGGAAGGCAGUGAGUUGCUGCGCAACAGCUUUUUCUAAAAUUGUUGAGAGGAAUGGGAGAUUCGAUAUAGGCCGAUAGUUUUGUAUAUUAUCUGGGUCAAGGUUUGGCUUUUUCAAGAGAGGCUUUAUUACUGCCACUUUUAUUGAGUUUGGUACACAUCUGGUGGAUAGAGAGCCGUUUAUUGUGUUCAACAUAGGAGGGCCAAGCACAGGAAGCAGCUCUUUCAGUAGCUAAAUUGGAAUAGGGUCCAGUAUGCAGCUUGAAGGUUUAGAGGCCAUGAUUAUUUUCAUCAUUGUGUCAAGAGAUAUUGUGCUAAAACACUUGAGUGUCUCCCUUGAUCUUAGGUCCUGGCAGAGUUGUGCAGACUCAGGACAUCUGAGAUUUGGAGGAAUACGCAGAUUUAAAGAGGAGUCCGUAAUUAGUUUUCUAAUGAUCAUGAUCUUUUCCUCAAAGAAGUUCAUGAAUGUAUUACUGCUGAAGUGAAAGCCAUCCUCUCUUGGGGAAUGCUGCUUUUUAGUUAGCUUUGUGACAGUAUCAAAAAUUAAUUUUGGAUUGUUCUUAUUUUCCUCAAUUAAGUUGGAAAAAUAGGAUGAUCGAGCAGCAGUGAGGGCUCUUCGAUACUGCACGGUACUGUCUUUCCAAGCUAGUCGGAAGACUUCCAGUUUGGUGUGGAGCCAUUUCCGUUCCAAUUUUCUGGAAGCUUGCUUCAGAGCUCGGGUAUUUUCUGUAUACCAGGGAACUAGUUUCUUAUGAUAAAUGUUUUUAGUUUUUAGGGUAUUGCGCAAGGUUAAAUUGAGUUCCUCAGUUAGGUGGUUAACUGAUUUUUGUCCUCUGACGUCCUUGGGUAGGCAGAGGGAGUCUGAAAGGGCAUCAAGGAUUCUUUGGGUUGUCUGAGAAUUUAUAGAAUGACUUUUGAUGAUCCUUUGUUGGGGUCUGAGCAGAUUGUUUGUUAAGAUUGCAAAUAAAAUGGUGGUCCGAUAGUCCAGGAUUAUGAGGAAAAAUAUUAAGAUCCACAACAUUUAUUCCGUGGGACAAAACUAGGUCCAGAGUAUGACUGUGGCAGUGUGUAGGUCCGGAGACAUGUUGCACAAAACCCACUGAGUCGAUGAUGGCUCCGAAAGCCUUUUGGAGUGGGUCUGUGGACUUUUCCAUGUGAAUAUUAAAGUCACCAAGAAUUUGAAUAUUACCUGCUAUGAUUAGGCAUUCAGGGAACUCAGUGAGGAACGCUGUAUAUAGCCCAGGAGGCCUGUAAACAGUAGCUAUAAAAAGUGAUUGAGUGGGUUGCAUAGAUUUCAUGACUAGAAGCUCAAAAGACGAAAACAUCGGGGGGUUUUUGUACAUUUAAAUUUGCUAUCGUAAAUGUUAGCAACACCUCCGCCUUUGCGGAAUGCACGGGCGAUAUGGUCACUAGUGUAAUCAAGGAGGUGAGGCCUCAUUUAACACAGUAAAUUCAUCAGGCUUAAGCCAUGUUUCAGUCAUGCCAAUCACAUCAAGAUUAUGAUCAGUGAUUAGUUCAUUGACUAUAUUGGAAGUGAGGGAUCUAACAUUAAGUAGCCCUAUUUUGAGAUGUGAGGUAUCACAAUCUCUUUCAAUAAUGGCAGGAAUGGAGGAGGUCUUUAUUCUAGUGAGAUUGCUUAGGUGAACACCGCCAUGUUUAGUUUUGCCCAACCUAGGUCGAGGCACAGACACGGUCUCAAUGGGGAUAGCUGAGCUGACUACACUGACUGUGCUAGUAGCAGACUCCACUAAGCUGGCAGGCUGGCUAACAGCCUGCUGCCUGGCCUGCACCCUAUUUCAUUGUGGAGCUAGUGGAGUUAGAGCCCUGUCUAUGUUCGUAGAUAAGAUGAGAGCACCUCUCCAGCUAGGAUGGAGUCCGUCACUCCUCAACAGGCCAGGCUUGGUCCUGUUUGUGGGUGAGUCCCAGAAAGAGGGCCAAUUAUCUACAAAUUCUAUCUUUUGGGGAGGGGCAGAAAACAGUUUUCAACCAGCGAUUGAGUUGUGAGACGCUGCUGUAGAGCUCAUCACUCCCCCUAACUGGGAGGGGGCCAGAGACAAUUACUCGAUGGCGACACAUCUUUCUAGUUGAUUUACACGCUGAAGCUAUGUUGCGCUUGGUGACCUCUGACUGUUUCAUCCUAACAUCGUUGGUGCCGACGUGGAUAACAAUAUCCCUAUACUCUCUACACUCGCCAGUUUUAGCUUUAGCCAGCACCAUCUUCAGAUUAGCAUUAAUGUCGGUAGCCCUGCCCCCUGGUAAACAGUGUAUGAUCGCUGGAUGAUUCGUUUUAAAUCUAAUACUGCGGGUAAUGGAGUCGCCAAUGACUAGGGUUUUCAAUUUGUUAGAGCUAAUGGUGGGAGGCUUCGGCGUCUCAGACCCCGUAACGGGAGGAGUAGAGACCAGAGAAGGCUUGGCCUCUGACUCCGACUCACUGCUUAAUAGUGAGAACCAGUUGAAAGUUUCUGUCGGCUGAAUGAGCGACACCGGUUGAGCAUUCCUACAGCAUUUCCCUGCAGAAGCCAUGAGAAAGUUGUCCAGCUGCGGGGACUGUGCGAGGGGAUUUAUACUACUAUCUGUACUUACUGGUGGCACAGAUGCUGUUUCAUCCUUUCCUACACUGAAAUUACCCUUGCCUAACGAUUGCGUCUGAAGCUGGGCUUGCAGCACAGCUAUUCUCGCCGUAAGGCGAUCGUUCUCCUGUAUAUUAUGAGUACAGCGACUGCAAUUAGAAGGCAUCAUGUUAAUGUUACUACUUAGCUUUGGCUGGUGGAGGUCCUGACGAACCAUGUCCAGAUAAAGCGUCUGGAGUGAAAAAGUUGAAUGAAAAAAAGUUGAGUGAGGGAAAAACUAAAAAUAUAAACGGUAAUUAAAAAGUAAAAACCGCAAAGUAAGGUUAGCAACAAAACGCACAGCAGCACGUAAACAAGUCUGCAAGUUGUGACCGGAAGUAGAGAGAGGGA